rnacentral:lncRNA from 1 species
GCUCACACUGGGGCUCGAAAUCGACGCACUCAUUGGCCGAAAGCGCAGUCUCUCCGGGCGAAACUCGGUUUGGGUCGGGUUAUUCAGGUCCAAGUGGAAAGAGGGCGGGCUCUGCCAGCUCCAGUAGUCGUAUAUGAUUGCCUGGCCUUGGGACAGCUCCUCUUUCCAUUGGGUAAGGCCUCCGUCCAUCACCAUAGAGUCGCGGCCUCCCUCUUCUAUUUCUCCGAGGAAAGCUUCGGCCACAGGAGGGAGAAAGCCAGACCCGGCGGGAGGGAGGCGGUGAAUGCGCGCGCACCGCCAUCCCUCUCCCCUCCCGCCCCGCGAGGCCUGCGGUUACCAAGGCGACGAAACUUUAUUGACAGCUCUGCCUGGCUACAAAGGGCUCCUCAGUCUCUCUCCCUCCCUCCCCGUUUACACCGUUGCGUUUUGGGAGUAUCCACACGCACUCUGUGGGACCUUCCCGCGAUAUGAACGGGGUCGGAUGGAGGGAGGGGAGGCUGAGGGAGGAGUGGGGACUUUUGAGACAAGCCCUGACUCCUGGGGCGCUCCCCUGGGGCACCCCCUAAUUGGGAUCACCCCCCCUACCUCAAUCCUAGAGGCAAACGUAACUAACAAUUCAUCAUAAUUACGCCGAG